rnacentral:rRNA from 1 species
UACGUAGGGGUCGAGCGUUGUCCGGAGUUACUGGGCGUAAAGCGCAUGCAGGCGGCUCAUUACGCAUGGCGUGAAAGCCCCCGGCUCAACCGGGGAGGGUCGUCGUGAACGGGUGAGCUUGAGGGUAUCAGGGGCUGGUGGAAUUCCCGGUGUAGUGGUGAAAUGCGUAGAGAUCGGGAGGAACACCUGUGGCAAAGGCGGCCAGCUGGGAUACACCUGACGCUGAGUUGCGAAGGCGUGGGGAGCGAACGGGAUUAGAUACCCCCGUAGUCCCUGA